rnacentral:rRNA from 1 species
AUGGCCCUUAUUGACUUAGGGCGUCUCGCUUUCCGGCGCCCCUUCGGCCCCCUUGAGGUGGCCGCUUGGGACUCCCUCCUUUAGGACAUCGCCCUUCUCUCGAUGGACGUCGAGGGCGUCCCUGAUUCCGUCUCUUGGCGGCUAGAGUCCUCUGGCCGCUUCUCCACUAAGUCCCUUUACGCAACCAUCGCACCCUCGACUGCACCGGACCCCUUUAGCCUGAUCUGGGACAUUCGCUUGCCUCUGAAGAUUAGGAUCUUCCUGUGGUAGUGGAUCCGCAGACGUCUCCCCUCUGGGGUUGAGGUCCUCAAGUGUAAUGGCCCAGGGGAUGGGCUCUGCCCCCUGUGCGGCACGGUGGAUGAUGCUAACCACAUCUUCUUCUCUUGCUCCACUGCCCAGUUCCUGUGGGCCUGCUUCCGCGAGACGGUCGGUGGACAGUGGUGCAACACAAACUUCCCUGACCUACUUGCUGAGAUGCAUGCCUCCCCCUCGCUACCACCAUAUUAG